AUCGCUUCUCGGCCUUUUGGCUAAGAUCAAGUGUAGUAUCUCUUCUUAUCAGUUUAAUAUCUGAUACGUCCUCUAUCCGAGGACAAUAUAUGAAAUAGAUUUUUGGAAUUAGGAGAUGGAAUAGGAACUUGCUCCGUCCACUCCACACAAAAA
rnacentral:snRNA from 1 species